rnacentral:rRNA from 1 species
UCGAGAAUCUUCGGCAAUGGGCGCAAGCCUGACCGAGCGACGCCGCGUGGAGGACGAAGGCCUUCGGGUUGUAAACUCCUGUCGAGGGGGAAGAAGGCCCCGCGAGGGGCUUGACUGAUCCCUGGAGGAAGCACGGGCUAAGUUCGUGCCAGCAGCCGCGGUAAGACGAACCGUGCGAACGUUAUUCGGAAUCACUGGGCUUAAAGCGCGUGUAGGCGGGGCGGCACGUCGGCCGUUGAAAGCCCCCGGCUCAACCGGGGAACGGGCGCCGAUACGACCGCCCUCGAGGGGCGUAGGGGGAGCUGGAACUUCCGGUGGAGCGGUGAAAUGCGUUGAGAUCGGAAGGAACGCCCGUGGCGAAAGCGAGCUCCUGGACGCCCACUGACGCUGAGACGCGAAAGCCAGGGGAGCGAACG